UACGAAGGGGGCUAGCGUUGCUCGGAAUCACUGGGCGUAAAGCGCACGUAGGCGGCUUCUUAAGUCAGGGGUGAAAUCCUGGAGCUCAACUCCAGAACUGCCUUUGAUACCGAGAGGCUUGAGUCCGGGAGAGGUGAGUGGAACUGCGAGUGUAGAGGUGAAAUUCGUAGAUAUUCGCAAGAACACCAGUGGCGAAGGCGGCUCACUGGCCCGGUACUGACGCUGAGGUGCGAAAGCGUGGGGAGCAAACAGG
rnacentral:rRNA from 1 species